ACCUCCUAAGAGCUUUCCACCUGUCUCCAUUGUGCUAGACGCAUUGUGACUAUGUGACUACGGUCCUGUAUUGCAUGACUAGCAGGUGGACCACAGAAAGACAUUUGUUUCCAACCUAGGACACGCGGAUUCGAUACUACAUGGAGCAAGAGGAUGUUUUCAGAGUGCUUAGUCGGUGUCAGUAGUGGAAAACAACCAUUAGGGUAAGAACACAGAAGAGGAGAAAGCUUGCACGGUCUCUUCACAAGAACGAGGAGAAAGAAGGCAAACAAUAAGUUGGUUGUAACGACUUCUAGCUUGUAAGAAAACGCAAACAAGGCGGAAAGAAUAAAAAGUGGGAAAAAUCAAGAGUGGCAACUCUCUUGUUUAACAAAUAGACGUUGAAGGCCAGACCAGAGCAGCCAUCGUGUGGAAUUACCCAGAAGGCCAAUGAUGUGGAGCUUGCUUUUGGUGGUGGUGUGGGCGCUGUUGUGGAAAGUGGAAGCAGCUGCGACUGGCUACAACUGCACGCGGAGUGGCUCGGAGUGCGGCGCAUUUGGCACGUGCGAUGCAGCGGCAGGGACGUGCAGGUGUAACCAAGGUUACGGUGGCCAUGACUGCAAACUUCGAAUGGACACAGUAGGAGGACCCGCUUGUCUCGCUACUAGCCGCUGUCUCCAUGGAGCCACCUGUUACUCUACCAGUGUGGGCACCGCCUGCUAUUGCCCUUUUGGUUUCUAUGGAGACAUCUGCGAGUUUCACACGGUGUUCCAGGAGUGCUUCGGUGACCGUAUGAUCAUCAACAUAAACCCCUGGUCGCACCUUUACUGGGAUCGUCGGCCUCCAGAGCGCCACUGGUUUCUGUGAUAUUCACCCAGUGGCACACUUACAUACCAGUGGUGCAGCCUUCUUAUCAGACCCGACCAGAAGCCGCUGGGAGGGGUACGCUGCUGACCUGUCUUUCUCCAUGGACCCGUGUGGAGGGUCUCCAUCUAUCAACCGCACGGCAGACGGCACACACUACACUUAUCAGGUGCUCGUACAGUUUGACCAGUUUCGAGUUUCACCUCUGGACGAAGUAAUCACCUUUUCAUGCAGUGUGCACAAUGUGGAACCCACCGGGAGAACGGCCGUUCUUUUUUCUGUCACUGAUGUCUACGGUCAUCAAGCGGCGUCAGCAAAGUUGGGGUCCGUCAUUCGGGUCACAUUCUCCGUUGACCCUAACAGCAUUUUCAGUCACCUGCUAGUCAAGUCGUGUGCUGUGUACGACACCAAUAAGACCCAGUCACGCAAAGUUGUCACCAACUCGUGUGUCGUUCCACCGGUUAGGAGUGAGCCUGGAGGAAAGUGCUGGUGGAAGCAAUGUUCUGACUAUUGUAGUGCACAGAUUCGGCAGAGACCCACAGAUCAAUUUCGAGUGCUCCGUCAAGGUGUGCACACCUGUCGACCUCACCUGCGUUGUGCCAAUUUUCUGCGACACCACACUAGGCCAGACAGGGUUUAGUGGAAUAUUUGACCCUAACAUCAUGCCAGUCGGUCGACGCCGCCGCCGCGACACAAGGAAGCCCAGCAACUCCGAGGCAGUGAUUAAUGUUCGUUUCAGCGCCUUUGAUGUGGAUUCUUCCUAAACACGAAAACUAAAAGGAGGAUUUUGACCAAGAUCGGCCUACUGAGGGAUUUUUGAACUAGUCUGUGAAGUGGUUCUAGACUGCUGUGGAGAAAUUUAACAUGGUUGAUGUCAUGGAAAGGUGCCUCUUGUCCUUCCGCCUAUUAAUAAGGUUAAUGACAUGUAUAUACCUGUAGUAUUAAUUAGCCAUCCCCGCUGGCCUGUUCACCUCUGCCUCGUCCUAUUGUGUCUCUCCGAUCUCUCCCAGGGAUGAGAAGAAGAAGAAGUAUUCAUCUGUUGUUUCAUUUGAUCGCCCUUCUUCGAAAAAAUAAACUAAUAAAGAAAAUUUCCUUUU